rnacentral:rRNA from 1 species
CUACGGGGCGCAGCAGUGAGGAAUAUUGCACAAUGGGGGGAACCCUGAUGCAGCAACGCCGCGUGGAGGAUGACGCAUUUCGGUGUGUAAACUCCUUUUAUAUGUCAAGAAAAUGACGGUAGCAUAUGAAUAAGCACCGGCUAACUCCGUGCCAGCAGCCGCGGUAAUACGGAGGGUGCAAGCGUUACUCGGAAUCACUGGGCGUAAAGGACGCGUAGGCGGGCUUGUAAGUCAGGUGUGAAAUCCUACAGCUUAACUGUAGAACUGCACUUGAAACUACGAGCCUAGAGUAUGGGAAGGGGAGAUGGAAUUAGUGGUGUAGGGGUAAAAUCCGUAGAUAUCACUAGGAAUACCUAAAGCGAAGGCGAUCUCCUGGAACAUAACUGACGCUAAGGCGUGAAAGCGUGGGGAGCAAACAGGAUUAGAUACCCGUGUAGUC